rnacentral:rRNA from 1 species
UUUCUGCGAAAUUGUUUUGGCAAUUGUUUAUUCCUCUAAAAAAUAGUAGGUAUAGCACUGAAUAUCUCGAGGGAGUAUGAAAAUAUUUAUCUCAGAUAUUUAAUCUCAAAAUAACUAUUUCUUAAAAUAAAUAAUCAGACUAUGUGCGAUAAGGUAGAUAGUCGAAAGGGAAACAGCCCAGAACAGUAAUUAAAGCUCCCCAAUUAAUAUUAAGUGAA